rnacentral:rRNA from 1 species
UAACAAGGAUUCCCCUAGUAACUGCGAGUGAAGCGGGAAAAGCUCAAAUUUAAAAUCUGGCGGUCUUUGGCCGUCCGAGUUGUAGUCUGGAGAAGUGCUUUCCGCGCUGGACCGUGUACAAGUCUCUUGGAACAGAGCGUCAUAGAGGGUGAGAAUCCCGUCUUUGACACGGACUACCAGUGCUUUGUGAUGCGCUCUCAAAGAGUCGAGUUGUUUGGGAAUGCAGCUCAAAAUGGGUGGUAAAUUCCAUCUAAAGCUAAAUAUUGGCGAGAGACCGAUAGCGAACAAGUACCGUGAGGGAAAGAUGAAAAGCACUUUGGAAAGAGAGUUAAACAGUACGUGAAAUUGCUGAAAGGGAAACGCUUGAAGUCAGUCGCGUUGAUCAGGACUCAGCCUUGCUUUUGCUUGGUGCAUUUUCUGGUUGACGGGCCAGCAUCGAUUUUGAUUGCCGGAAAAAGGCUGGAGGAAUGUGGCACCUUCGGGUGUGUUAUAGCCUUCAGUCACAUACGGCGGUUGGGAUCGAGGACCGCAGCACGCCUUUAUGGCCGGGGUUCGCCCACGUUCGUGCUUAGGAUGCUGGCGUAAUGGCUUUAAACGAC